UUUCCGUAGGUGAACCUGCGGAAGGAUCAUUCACAAUAAAGUGUUUUAUGGCACUUUUUAAAAAUCCAUAUCCACCUUGUGUGCAAUGUUAGAUCUCGUCAAUCUUGGCGAGAUUUUUAUACAUCAACUCAUUCUUUAACUAAUUUGUCUGAAAAAUAUUAUGAAUACUUAAUUCAAAAUACAACUUUCAACAACGGAUCUCUUGGCUCUC
rnacentral:misc_RNA from 1 species